AUGAACGCUGGCGGCGUGCCUAAUACAUGCAAGUCGAGCGAACAGACGAGGAGCUUGCUCCUCUGACGUUAGCGGCGGACGGGUGAGUAACACGUGGAUAACCUACCUAUAAGACUGGGAUAACUUCGGGAAACCGGAGCUAAUACCGGAUAAUAUAUUGAACCGCAUGGUUCAAUAGUGAAAGACGGUUUUGCUGUCACUUAUAGAUGGAUCCGCGCCGCAUUAGCUAGUUGGUAAGGUAACGGCUUACCAAGGCAACGAUGCGUAGCCGGCCUGAGAGGGUGAUCGGCCACACUGGAACUGAGACACGGUCCAGACUCCUACGGGAGGCAGCAGUAGGGAAUCUUCCGCAAUGGGCGAAAGCCUGACGGAGCAACGCCGCGUGAGUGAUGAAGGUCUUCGGAUCGUAAAACUCUGUUAUUAGGGAAGAACAAAUGUGUAAGUAACUAUGCACGUCUUGACGGUACCAAAUCAGAAAGCCACGGCUAACUACGUG
rnacentral:rRNA from 1 species